rnacentral:rRNA from 1 species
UUCGGGUUUAGUGGCGCACGGGUGCGUAACGCGUGGGAAUCUGCCCCUUGGUUCGGAAUAACAGUUGGAAACGACUGCUAAUACCGGAUGAUGACGUAAGUCCAAAGAUUUAUCGCCGAGGGAUGAGCCCGCGUAGGAUUAGGUAGUUGGUGUGGUAAAGGCGCACCAAGCCGACGAUCCUUAGCUGGUCUGAGAGGAUGAUCAGCCACACUGGGACUGAGACACGGCCCAGACUCCUACGGGAGGCAGCAGUGGGGAAUAUUGGACAAUGGGCGAAAGCCUGAUCCAGCAAUGCCGCGUGAGUGAUGAAGGCCUUAGGGUUGUAAAGCUCUCUUACCCGGGAUGAUAAUGACAGUACCGGGAGAAUAAGCUCCGGCUAACUCCGUGCCAGCAGCCGCGGUAAUACGGAGGGAGCUAGCGUUAUUCGGAAUUACUGGGCGUAAAGCGCACGUAGGCGGCUUUGUAAGUAAGAGGUGAAAGCCCAGAGCUCAACUCUGGAAUUGCCUUUUAGACUGCAUCGCUUGAAUCAUGGAGAGGUCAGUGGAAUUCCGAGUGUAGAGGUGAAAUUCGUAGAUAUUCGGAAGAACACCAGUGGCGAAGGCGGCUGACUGGACAUGUAUUGACGCUGAG